CUGUUGCUCGCGAUUGAUGAAAAAAAAUUCUGAGAACCAGCCCACCGCUCCCCCGUUUCCGCUCAAUCCACUCAAACAAACAAAACCAACGAAAAACAGCAGAAAAAACCACUCCCCCACGAACUCAUCACGUCCCACGUCCCCAUCCCCCCUUGCCCUCGCCCUCGAUCCUCACUCUUCCCUCCCCUGAAACAAAUCGCCACCACCAAGCCCCCACACGCCACCUCACCGGCCUAGAUCUCGAUAUGCCGCCGCCACUCCCCUCCUCGUCAGCCUCAUGGUCGCGGUGGUCGCAGUCCUGUCCGUGGACGCCGCCGCUCCCCUCCUCGUCAGCCUUGUGGUUGCGGUGGCCGUAGCCGCCCGCUCUGCACGAUGCCCCUCCCUUGCCCAUCGCCAUUCUCGUCGCGUCACCCUUGUGUUGGUCGCCGUCGCGCCGCCUCUGUACACAGACACCCCACUAUUCAGUUCCAUGGGCCCUAAUUGUUUGUUCAAUUUCAGGUAAAGAUUGUGGGGCAUGAGAGCCACCAUAGCUUGUGUCCGUCGAGGUCGUUGACUCCUCCAUCUGUCAAUUGCAUGUAGAUGGGCUUCUAUUGUGAUGACGACUGUGCUGUUGCGAACAUCGAUCAUCCUCGUCCCGUGACUGUUGAACCAGUUGAAGUCCACAAUGAAUUAUAACGUAUUGAGCUUAAUUAUAUGACUAUUUUUACUGUUUCUACUUACAUGCUUUUAUUAUAUCACAAUUCUGCUCUUUAGGUAUGCACUUAAUUUAUGCGAGAGCCCCAAACUUUUAUUAAACAACAUACCAAUCUUGAACCUUGAGAAUUCAGACUGGUGAAGUACCUGCCAUUUUUAGGCAAUUGGUAGUGGAGACUGCCUUCCGUAUUUGACUCGUCACACAUAUGUCAUAAACUUAGAACACACUUUUGGCUGGAUAUGUGAUAAUGUAGUUCGGUCACCGUUGGUGAAGUGGAUAAACUUAGAACAUAGUGUCAUUUUUAGGCAGUUGGUAGUGAAACAACUAUAAUGACUUGGUCCAGAGGUCGAGCGGAUAGUUGACACCAUGCAGUUCAAUGAUGUAUCGAUCCCUCGGACCUGCCUUUUGAAGCUACUCGAAGCAAGACAAGAAGCAUGGCAUGCUCAAGUUCAAGUCGUUGCGAUGGCUCGUCGGCCCUGAUAGAUGCCGCGCUGAAGUGAUGCAAUGUGCGCUCAAGUGGUCGAAGCAGAAGAAGAAAGGUUGGCUGCAAUGUAGUCUUGCUGGUUGUAGUAUUACUAUAUACUAAGCUGAGCAAAGCAGAGGAAGCAAAGGAAGAGAAGGAUGAGUAACAAGUUGUCAACUACAUAAUCUUAGUGUCAAGUGACAAGUGUAUAGGAGUAUUCGCUGGCAUGUUUUUAGUGGUCGCGGUGAGAUUCUUAGUUUGACCAUUGUAUUUCGCUGGCAUGUUUUUAGUGGUCGCGGUGAGAUUCUUAAUUUGACCAUUAAUUAGUGUGAAUUAUGAUCACAACUGAUCAAUUGAUGCAAGGGAUUUGUUUUAUGUAAAAGCAUUGGACCUGAUGUAUGCAAGCAUCUGCCACUAGAUUUCUUUCUGUAUUUUCAUCUGUUGUAUGUUCCCUCCUAAUAACAUUUUUUCAUGAAUAAUAAUAGGCACAAGAUCCCACUAAGAAGAUUACUUCUGUAGUUCUGUGCUCGAACAAUUCCAAAUGACUGCUAUUUUUUAGAGAAGAACAGGUAUGUGUGCCCCAUCUAGAAAAGCUUACUUCAGGUUUAUCUGUACGCCGUCUGAUCCGACGCUCGUCACCAUUGCCCUGCCAUGUCAAGGGUGAACUAGAAUAUAUCAUCAGUUCGUACCCAUUAGCAAUGAAAACUGGUGUGUUUUUUGUACCUCCCAAUGGUUACUUUGGAAGUUGAUUCUCCAAUUUAAAAACCCGUCUUGACUUUUUCUGGCCUCUUCUCCAUAUUGAUAUGAAGUUAUUGUGCUUUUCACGGAUUUAGACUAUGUGGCUAUAUAUCCAUGGACAGUUUUCGGUUAUUACCAAUAGGAAGCAGAUAAAUGAACAUGUGUGUUUGCAAAACUUGGCGAGCUUCUAGCUCCCAAUAUGUGUUUGUGCUUGAUCAAUUGUUUGCCUCAUGGUAUUUAGUUAUAAAUUUUCCUUGAUUAUUAGCAUUUGUGUAUUAAUGCUUGCAGGAGGGGAGGAGUCGGACUAGGUUGUCGUCCAAGUCGCUUCUCACCUUUGACGCUGUUGCGUCUAGACCAUUGCUCAUCUCCCACAUCUGUAUGCCUGGCUAAGCACUUUAAUUUUUGUUAUACAGUGCAUAUGCAUUUGCUAUAAUUUUUGUUCAGGUAUAUCUAUUUUAGUGUGCUCAACGUCAAUUGAUUCUUUGUACCAGCAAGAUUAAAGCAAUGCAAUGAAAGGAGCUUCUAACAUGCUUUCUUUCAUUUAUUUGGUCUAAUCAAAAUGAUACUUUAUUGAAAGUUUGAAACACAUGUGCAGAAGUAAUAGAUGUCAAUCGAUGCUAAAUUUUCAUAUAAACACACAAGUAGCUCUUGGCACAUGACAUGUUUUUCUGAUAUUGUUCUAUUUCAAUGCAACAAGUCUGCAUUUCUGUUACUUAUUCUUACUGAACAGACAAGGCUCUGAUGCAAGACUUCUCCUUCUAUCAUUGGAUUAAGAAGAUAAACUCUUAUACUAACUAUUUCUUUUUUUUUCUUUUCUGAAUUGAAGAUUCACUCCUAAUGUGUUGAGAGCUACUGAUGUGUUUUAUUUUUUUAUUGUUCAUGAAUGGCAUGAUCAAGGAGGCAGAGAGGAAAUGUUUUAUGAAUCAAGAAAAACAUACUGAAACUUGGUAACGUUGCUGAGAAGUUAAAUAGAAGUAUGAUAUUUCCAUGAAAGCUUCAUCUUCUUAUUCUCUACUUGUGUUGUUGGAAAUGGCAAUCAGUUGAUCUUUGAAUUAUGCAGCCUAUCUAAAAAUCUUAACUGUGGUCUAGCUUUUGAGGUUCUGAUACAAUGUAAUAAACAUUACCAUUCGGACAAAGUAAAAGGUACUUCUUUAUUGAAAUGUUUUUUUAAUCCUAUUUGUAGCAUUUGUCCAUGAUUCUCUUCCUUACAUUUGGUGUUAAGUUGUGUUUCAAAGUAGGCGCUACAUCUUGUUGCUCUGGGACAAAGUAGGCAAUGGUGGCCAAAGCAACAUCUUCCCCACCUAGGUGCUCCGAAUCUGGUGUCUCGGCAUCGAAAGAUUGGACCAGGAGGAUUGGAGUUUGAAUGGGAUGCAUUUGGUGUGACAGGAAGAGAUGUCUCGCAUCCAUCAUGUUGAUGGCUUGGGGGUGUGGCAGCUCGGGAUACUUACAAGCUAGAUGUAGUUGCCCCCAUCUCUUAUACUUGUUUGUUUCGCUUAGGGCAUGUUAUAGUUUAGUUAUAACAUGGAUUUCAUUUAUCAUGUAAAGUGUACCAUCAAAUUAUGGAUCUUAAUGUUUGCUUCUUUUCAGCACUUA